AAGACCUUGCGCUUUUGGAGCGGCCGAUGCCUGAUUAGCUAGUUGGUGGGGUAAUGGCCUACCAAAGCUUCGAUCAGUAGCUGGUCUGAGAGGACGGCCAGCCACACUGGGACUGAGACACGGCCCAAACUCCUACGGGAGGCAGCAGUGGGGAAUUUUGGACAAUGGGCGCAAGCCUGAYCCAGCCAUGCCGCGUGAGUGAAGAGGGCCUUCGGGUUGUAAAGCUCUUUCAGCCGGGAAGAAAAGGUUGCGAUUAAUAAUCGCAAUUUAUGACGGUACCGGAAGAAGAAGCACCGGCUAACUACGUGCCAGCAGCCGCGGUAAUACGUAGGGUGCGAGCGUUAAUCGGAAUUACUGGGCGUAAAGGGUGCGCAGGCGGUUUUGUAAGUCAGAUGUGAAAUCCCCGGGCUUAACCUGGGAACU
rnacentral:rRNA from 1 species